rnacentral:rRNA from 1 species
GUGCCUAAUACAUGCAAGUUGAGCGCUGAAGGUUGGUACUUGUACCGACUGGAUGAGCAGCGAACGGGUGAGUAACGCGUGGGGAAUCUGCCUUUGAGCGGGGGACAACAUUUGGAAACGAAUGCUAAUACCGCAUAAAAACUUUAAACACAAGUUUUAAGUUUGAAAGAUGCAAUUGCAUCACUCAAAGAUGAUCCCGCGUUGUAUUAGCUAGUUGGUGAGGUAAAGGCUCACCAAGGCGAUGAUACAUAGCCGACCUGAGAGGGUGAUCGGCCACAUUGGGACUGAGACACGGCCCAAACUCCUACGGGAGGCAGCAGUAGGGAAUCUUCGGCAAUGGACGAAAGUCUGACCGAGCAACGCCGCGUGAGUGAAGAAGGUUUUCGGAUCGUAAAACUCUGUUGGUAGAGAAGAACGUUGGCGAGAGUGGAAAGCUCAUCAAGUGACGGUAACUACCCAGAAAGGGACGGCUAACUACGUGCCAGCAGCCGCGGUAAUACGUAGGUCCCGAGCGUUGUCCGGAUUUAUUGGGCGUAAAGCGAGCGCAGGUGGUUUAUUAAGUCUGGCGUAAAAGGCAGUGGCUCAACCAUUGUAUGCAUUGGAAACUGGUAGACUUGAGUGCAGGAGAGGAGAGUGGAAUUCCAUGUGUAGCGGUGAAAUGCGUAGAUAUAUGGAGGAACACCGGUGGCGAAAGCGGCUCUCUGGCCUGUAACUGACACUGAGGCUCGAAAGCGUGGGGAGCAAACAGGAUUAGAUACCCUGGUAGUCCACGCCGUAAACGAUGAGUGCUAGAUGUAGGGAGCUAUAAGUUCUCUGUAUCGCAGCUAACGCAAUAAGCACUCCGCCUGGGGAGUACGACCGCAAGGUUGAAACUCAAAUGAAUUGACGG